CAUUUUCUAAAGCUUUUUGGAUUUCUACCACUUAUAUUUGUGUACAAGUUCUUUAAGAAAAUGAUGAGAGAAACUUUUAAAUGAGCUUAUGAUAAUUGUUUUAUCUUCUGCUUUAUCCCCCAUUUCCCCUUUUGCUUUCUGCUUGUUUAUAUCUUGGAAUAUUAUCUAAGACUUUUUAUGAAUUUCAUUAUCUUAUUAUUUUUUUGUGAAUUUCAUUCUCUUAUUAUUUUUGUCAAUUUCAUUAGAUGUAUUGUAAUGAAAAAAGAUGGCUCAUUAUUUUGGUUUGCUUUAUGUGUGAUCAUCAGGAAUUGGAUUUUUUGGUUGAGG
rnacentral:misc_RNA from 1 species